GAUGAACGCUGGCGGCGUGCCUAAUACAUGCCAGUCGAGCGAACAGAUGAGGAGCUUGCUCCUCUGACGUUAGCGGCGGACGGGUGAGUAACGCGUGGAUAACCUACCUAUAAGACUGGGAUAACUUCGGGAAACCGGAGCUAAUACCGGAUAAUAUAUUGAACCGCAUGGUUCAAUAGUGAAAGACGGUUUUGCUGUCACUUAUAGAUGGAUCCGCGCCGCAUUAGCUAGUUGGUAAGGUAACGGCUUACCAAGGCAACGAUGCGUAGCCGACCUGAGAGGGGGAUCGGCCACACUGGAACUGAGACACGGUCCAGACUCCUACGGGAGGCAGCAGUAGGGAAUCUUCCGCAAUGGGCGAAAGCCUGACGGAGCAACGCCGCGUGAGUGAUGAAGGUCUUCGGAUCGUAAAACUCUGUUAUUAGGGAAGAACAAAUGUGUAAGUAACUAUGCACGUCUUGACGGUACCUAAUCAGAAAGCCACGGCGAACUACGU
rnacentral:rRNA from 1 species